GAUGAAGAACGUAGCGAAAUGCGAUAAGUAAUGUGAAUUGCAGAAUUUAGUGAAUCAUCGAAUCUUUGAACGCACAUUGCGCCCCCUGGUAUUCCGGGGGGCAUGCCUGUUCGAGCGUCAUUUCACCACUCAAGCCUCGCUUGGUAUUGGGCAACGCGGUCCGCCGCGUGCCUCAAAUCGACCGGCUGGGUCUUCUGUCCCCUAAGCGUUGUGGAAACUAUUCGCUAAAGGGUGUUCGGGAGGCUACGCUGUAAAACAACCCCAUUUCUAAGGUUGACCUCGGAUCAGGUAGGGAUACCCGCUGAACUUAAGCAUAUCAAUAAGCGGAGGA
rnacentral:misc_RNA from 1 species